CUGGGUGUAUACCAUCUGGAGGCAGGGAGAGCACAGGGCCUCUGCAUGUAUACCAUCUGGAGGCAGGGCUGGGGUGGGACCUGAGCUUUCAAAUCAUGAACUGUGUUUUCUCUCUUGACACAAUCUCAAGAGUCUACCCCGUGGACCUGAGUCUCCAUCAGCUCCAUCACUAAAAGGGAUGGGAUGCAAAAAAAAAGGGGGGGGGGUGACCUAUGACGAGAGAGACUGGAGCCCACAGAAGCUGUGGGAUUCUGAAGGCCUCUGGGGGCAGGCAGGAGGGGAGGGAGCUCAUCCACGGGUUCCCUGGCUUCUAGAGCACAUCAGAUGGCCUCCAGUUAAAGACGGGCCUUAGAUUCCCAGAUGAAUUUUCCUUGUGGAAAUAAAUGCGCUUGGCAGUGCCUCGUGGCAGGGAAGUGACCACAGAUCAUCUCCGUCCACAUUUCACUCUAGAAACAUUAGGGUCCAUGGGGCAGCAGCUGUGGGCUUCCUGGGAGCGCUUUGCCAAUUUAGCAUCUGGUGGGUUUAUGCAUAUGACUGGGUGGCUGCCUCUUCAGCUGCCUUUGGGGAUGAGCCUCUGGGUCGAGCACUCCUGGCCCAGGCACUGUAGCCUGCCUUGGCUAUGGAGAGCGGUCGCUCUGAGGAGAAAAGACUGAAGUGACAGGAGCCAGCUGCUGUGGAGUGGCUGUGACAGCUGUAGCUGUGAACUGGAGAACUGUGAAGAUCCUCCUAGGGGAACUGGAGAUGCACUCACUUGCUGGGAGACGGACAAUCUGUGUGGCUCUGUGCCAUUCAGCUGCCAUAAGACUGCGAUGGUCUAGAGGGGAGGAUACAGUCUCAUAGACCACAGAGCCCUGUGCCAGACUGGACUGGAGACCAGCCUCCUUUCUGACGUCCCACCCAGUCUCCCACUCCAGGAUCUGUGUUGCUGAAAGGGUAGAAACACAC
rnacentral:lncRNA from 1 species